GUUAGGGUCAGGAGAGAACCUACAGAGGAUGGGUUAGGGUCAGGAGGAACCUACAGUGGAUGGGUUAGGGUUAGGGUCAGGAGAGAACCUACAGAGGAUGGCUCCACCUCUCUAGGAGGAUCUGUGGAUAACCAUGGCAACAGGACCCAUUCCAUUAGGACCCAUAGCAACAGGAUCCAUGGCAACAGGACCCAGUGGAGCAGAAAGUAAAGUCUGAACACAUUUGAAUAAAACUCUUUUUUUUUUUUACAAUAGGGCAAUCUAUGAAGUAAACCGAGGGAUUCAUGUGUUGAUGCAGCAUAAGUUUUGAUAACAUUUGUGUCGAUG